AGGAGGAGACAAUACCACAAAAGUAUUUGAGAUCCAUGUGAACCUUUUUAUCCACUGUGGAUUGGGAUUUACAUUCCAGGGGUAUAAUGAACCCAGAGACGCAAAUAUGUGGGCGCACGAUCUUAUUAAACCCUUGAAGAUGAUCCCAGUCUCAUUCAAUAACAGAGCCUUUCCUCAACGACUCUGGCAUGGAUGCAAACUGUAGCCUUUAGCAGAGCUCAAUGCCAACAGAAACCAGCAACUCUGCCGAGGCUUUAUCGCUUUUCUUCAGUGGAGGGGGAGGUGUUUAUCUGGGAAGGGUUUCACAUCACGGACAAUAGGAAACUGUUCAGCUUUCCACAAAUAGGCUGAUGUGCAACUUCCAAGCACUCUCCAAGGAAAACUUCAGAACACUGGCCACAUCUUUCCAGCAGGGAUUUCGUGUAAAGUAGGUAACGCCCCACAUCCUUCAUCCUGAUUUAUUCCUGCUUCAUCCUCAUUUCAAAGUGCUGUGCUCACUUCAAACACAACACGGGGCUCAUCUCUGAACGUGCACUUUGAUCACUGGGGACUCCAGAUUGGUAUAGGCCCUUCAAACAUAAACAGGGAUGUGCUGUCCUGACAGAAGAAUUUCUGGGACUGCCUUUAGUUUUGCAAGAGUAAUUUGGAAAUGUGAAGCUGGGGCCAUAUGACAGGAGAUACAAAUCUAGUUUCCAGACAGGGCACUGGGUACCAAAGCACUUGGAUCCUGUCUGAGACUUUGCUGCUGAAGUGCUACAGGUUAGCAGGAAAAUCUUACUACUCCUGACUUGGAAAUCAAUGGAGAAAGACUUCAGAGUGCUCUUUCUCACAAAUGACAGCACCAAAUUAGGUCUCUUCCUCUGCAAGCUGCCACCAGCAGAGAGUGGCACUAUGGAAUUGUGAACUGCUCUGAUGUCCCAUACAGCAGUGGGAAGGGAAAAUAUCCCAAAUUUAGUUCUUUUUUCAACUCUGGCUCCCUGUAGGACCAAGUGUUUUCUUGCUUAAGUGACAAAAGUUAUGAACAUGGUCCAUUUUUCAUUCUUCCUGGAAUGCAGAGCAUUUGGAGUGUAGGUGGAAAACCAAAAUCUGUCAACACCCACUAAUAGAAAUUUGUUUUAUUAAUUAGCUUUGUGGGAAGGAAAAAGAAAAAAAAAAAGAGCUGAUCUUCUGCUCUGAAAUCAUGAAUCACUGUGGAAGAGAAAACAUCUCCUCUGAGGCACCUGAGGCCACUUCAGAGAGAAUGAGUGACUGAGCUGCUUCCUUGGAAAGUCCUGAGUCAUCAAACACAGCAGUUUAAUUCCCAGGAAAUGGGAAACACACUGGCAUGAUGCUCACUUGCAUGGAGCAUGAGGUCCAGAGAAGGGUGAAACUCCAAAGAUUCUGGAGAUCAGUUUAGCUUGCGGAAGGAUUUUAAAACCUAAAUGCUUCUCUGAAGUAUAUCUGAUCUGGAUCUGGGUACAGUAUUCCCAACACAUGAUUUCCUGGAUGAAUUAAACUCUUUACAAACUUUACAGAUUGCAUAUGAAUUUACUUUGACUUCUCAUAAAAAUGAUUCAGUGAUCAUGACACAAAAAUGCAUUCUGGCUUCUAAGGUAUUUACUGUGACAAGUGCUUCAUAAAUUCACCAUCCUUAAUUUACUGUUAUAAGAACUUACUCCUUUUGGCAUUCCUGCUCCUUCUACUAGCACGUAACAAGGAGGAGGGGCUGAUAUACAUGGAUCUCAGCCUGACUCUUUACCAUGUUCUCCUAAAGGGACGCCCACACUGUCAUUUCAGACCCAAAGCUGGGUCAUGGACAGCAUGAAGUCACCUGGCUUGGCUGAGAUACCAUGAGUCGUUAAAAGUGAGACUAUUUUGCAUCAAAAUGGGCAAGAAAUGACAUAAAAUCACACACCAUAUGUACAUUAGAGUGACUUUCUACUUGUGGGGGCAAUUUUAAAAGGUUUCAGUAAGUUUCACAGCUUGCCACAACAAGAUCCACCCACAUGGAGUCAUUUGGCCAUGCCACCAGUCACACAAUAGUGUUCUGGAGGGCUUCUAACCCAUUUAAACUCCAAAGAAUGUCCUUAUGAACACCUGAUCACUCAUGAAAGAUGAAACACAUGCUUCUCAGCAAACUCCUCUGUAGAACACUGUAUCCUUGACUGUUUUUUCCCUAAGGGACUGUUGUUGAAGGAACUUUUAAGGGAAAGUGUCAGUGAGAGAAGUCAUUGACUUCCUUUCUCUCUGUUCCUUUUUUAGGAACUUGUGCACUGUAAAGAGCUCUCUGCAAGCUAAAUGAAUAGCAAUUACACUCAUGCUGAGUGAAUCAGCUCUAUCGAUUGCAGCACAGCCCACAGAUCUCUCGCUGAAGGAAAAGAAGUCAGCUCUGGAUGUGGAAAAGCUAUCUGUCCUAAUGUGUGAGGCCUCUUUGCCUGACAACGUGAUACUGAAGGUAAGGGAAGUCGGCACUGCAAAGACAGAGUGACAGCAAACAGACCACAAACUUCCUUAGAUAAACGACAUCUUUCCAAGCACACAAUACCACUUGAUACCUUUGUGCCCCUUGAGCUGUUACAAAGUGCAGCUGCACUUCAGCCCAGAUUGAUAUCGCCUGGGGUGGAGGCCAUCAAUCCACAGGACAAGAGCAGGCUCAAUACACAAACAAAGUCACACAACCUGUGUUUCAAUGGAAGGCUGGGGAGGGGAUGGUGCAGUUUUUCCAAAGGCUUAAAUGAGCCUAGUGACACAUCUCACAAAAUGAUUACACAUCUAAAACUUGAUUAGCCACCUAAAACCAGCCAGACACCUCCUGCAAGCAAGCCUGGCCAGUUGUCCAAGACACCCAUGAGCACUACUCUGGAAAAGCCAGUCUUUUUACUUUGACUAAGGAAGGCAUCUGCUCAACUGUGUGAACAUACUCUGAGUUUUCCACCAAUUCCCUCAUGGCUCCUCAUAACCAAAGAUGGGAGAGGAUCAGCAACCAUCUCAUAUUAAUGAUGACCUCUAAAAGCUACUGGCACUGAUGGAAGACAACAAUUUCAGCGCAAGUUGGAUCAGCUUUAUCUCUAAUAACUAUAAACCAAAAUUUUCAUCUCAUGCUUAUGACCUGAGGUGAAAAGAUCUGCGUUAAGAGUUGGCUGGAAGCAGAAAGAGGAUGAAAAAUCGGCUUCUCCUGUGGAAACAAUAACCCUGAAAUUUGGCUAGGAAAUAAGAUUCUGAAAGAAGGCAGCAUUGAUCACAUCCUCGGAGAGAGCAGCCUGAUGGAAAUGAGCACUGCUGCGUGUUCUUCUGGCCAAGAGGACGGUGUGCAGCACGUCAGGGCUUGGCACGUGGCAGAAGGUCAGAGCUGAUUUUGAGAACCCAGCAACAACAGAGUCAUCAUGGACACAGGUGCUUCCUGGAUUGAUCUUGCAGUUUGGCUGGUUCCAGUUAAAUGUGAAGCAGCUGUGGCCCUUUAUCUGCUCAAGUCCCUGGAAUCCAUCUGAGGGGAAACUUUCUCCCAUCUCCUCCUCUCUCCCAACCCCAAGCACGCAGCUCUG